rnacentral:sRNA from 1 species
AAGAGAAUGAUUUAUUUCCGAGUAAUCAAUAGCUACUUUUUUCUUUUUUUUAUUCUAUGCAGAUUGUUGGGUAUAUUUUGGAAGUGUGCCAGAAUUGGUGAACGGAAGAGUCCUUAUGUUGCAGUAUGCUGUAUAGUAAUGGCCUUCAGCAUCCUCUUCAUACAGUAGCUGGGGAAAAUGCCAGAAUUUAAUUGCGAUCAGAUUUCAUUGUGAACAAGGACUUACUACAGAAAAUAAUGGAAAGGAUGUUUAACUCUUUUAUCUCUGAACAUUGAAUGAGAUAAAUUUCCAGAUGCUGUUCUCUAUUUUAAUGUUAUUGGACCAAUGUUCUGUAUAAAUAAUUAAGAUGUAACCAUUUAAUAGUCUGUAACAAUCAACCUCAGUACUGUCACUACAAUAUUACAUUCUGCAAAUGUAUCAGAUACGAAAUUUUAGUGAGGUAUCUCUAAGGCACAUAGUAGAAAACAAAAUUGUUUAAUUACUCAAGUUCCUUUCACUGUGAUUUGGAAAUGAUUUAAUCUUUGUAGAAUGAGACCUUUUUUUGGACUAGCUUUUUUAUUAAAAUGGCUCAAUUUGUGUUGAUAAGGAUUGCAUUCAUAUUUAAUAGUGCUUGCUUUUCCUCUGGGCAUACCAUUUUGAUCAUUAACCAGAGUACCUCUACUCUUAGCAAACUCUAGUUUAUGACAAGUAUAUAAAAUAUUUAAAA